CCUGAGAAACCCAAAAGAUCGAAUGAGGAGAUUCAUUGUCAGCUCAUUUUGUAUAUGUAUCGAGUUACGAUGCAAGUUACUACUUGUAGUAUUGCCUGCACGUUCUUUUACAUUUAGUUGCAAGAUGUNGUCGGCGUGCACUUCUUCUCUAGUAGAACGUCGCGACCCGUUGAGAGUUGGUCUACGGCCCAAGUGGUAGACUGUUAUGUUUGAAAAAACAUUAAUAGACCCUUUGGUGUUUUCUGAUCCAACUUCUCGGCGGUACACGUACGGUAUUAAGCCGCAAAAUUUCAUUUGCGUCCAUGCUCGUCGCAAGCGAGGUCAAUUUCCGGUAGUACGGACUUAGUGCCGUCGCUGGUAUUGACCAGCUGUUGGUUGUACGAUGUUCUAGGACUGGCUUAA
rnacentral:rRNA from 1 species